GACGAACGCUGGCGGCGUGCUUAACACAUGCAAGUCGAACGAUGAAGAAAAGAAUCGAAGCUUCGGCAGAAAUUCAUUUCGGAUUAGUGGCAGACGGGAGAGUAACGCGUGAGCAACCUACCUCUUACAAAGGGAUAGCCUCGGGAAACCGGGAUUAAUACCAUAUAACAUUGCGACGAAGCAUUUCGAUGCAAUCAAAGCUACGGCGGUAAGAGAUGGGCUCGCGUCCCAUUAACCGGAUGGUGAGGUAACGGCUCACCAUAGUGACGAUGGGUAACCGGCCUGAGAGGGUGAACGGUCACACUGGAACUGAGACACGGUCCAGACUCCUACGGGAGGCAGCAGUGGGGAAUAUUGCACAAUGGAGGGAACUCUGAUGCAGCGACGCCGCGUGAGUGAUGAAGGAAUUCGUUUCGUAAAACUCUGUUCUAUGGGAAGAAAAGGACUGUACCAUAGGAGAAAGCGCCGGCUAAAUACGUG
rnacentral:rRNA from 1 species